rnacentral:lncRNA from 1 species
GGGAGAGAGAGAUGGAGACGGAAAAGGCGGAGACAGAGGGAGACCAGGAGAGACACUUGGUGAGACAGACCUUAUGAAAUUCCUCUGUGUCGGACGUGGAGCCGGGUGCGAAGAGUAAGGGGCAGCCUGGAAUGGGGACAAAGGAGGCCAGGCUAAGAGGCAGAGUCUUGGAUCCAAAUCCUGCCUUGCUAGCUGUGUGACGUUGGGCGCUGUGUGCUGCCUCUCUGAACCUCAGUUUCCUCCUCUGUAAACCGGGAUGAAUUGGUGGCGCUGAGAGUCUGGGAGUCUCGAAGAGGGGCCGGCCCUGGAUGGAGCAACGUUCUUCCUUCGAGUGAAAUCGUGGGUGAGACGGCAGGAAGAAAGCAAAGCGGACCAGGAUGUGGGUGGGGAUCUAGAAAAUUCUUCCACAAAAGAAGAGGCUGAACACACAAGCUUUAGAAUCACCUCCCCAGGCCCCUUGUCCCAUCGAGACUUGCCUGUCCCCCGCCCCAGCCCCUUGGGCGCCUGUCCUCCGUUCAGAGCCGCGGAGUAGGUGUAAUUGGUUCUCCAAGGCGGUGGCUUUGCACUGAGCAGGGGCUUCCCAGAGACCUGGGGCCGAGAGCCCACUAAGACGGGGGGCAGACGGGGCUGGGGGCCCAGUGAGGCCUGGGCAGGUGGCCCGCUGGCGGGGACACGAGCGGCUCCCCCCACAGCCCCGCGCGGCACGCUCUGUUUAUACCGAGAGGGCCUCUGACUUCAC